UAGAGAACAUGAAUUACUACUACCACUACUACGUACUCUUACCCAUUCAUGCAUGCUUGUUUAAUAUUCUCUUCCCGAAGACAUAUGACGAGGAUGUUGUAAACAUCAAUUGUAUGAAUAGGGGAAAUUCCACCAAAGCAUAUAUAGUGACUGGGAUACUUGCUAGCAAGAUAAUUGGAAAGGAGACCCAUAGACGAACACCGUAUCGAAGCAUAAAUAAGGUAGCUGCCACAAAAGCUAUCAUCAUCCCCACAAUAGAGACGAAGAGAAAUAAAAGGCCCAACAUCAACAUUCGGGGCAAAGUUGACAAGAAUUCUUCUUCCG